rnacentral:rRNA from 1 species
AGAGUUUGAUCAUGGCUCAGAACGAACGCUGGCGGCAGGCCUAACACAUGCAAGUCGAACGAAGCCUUCGGGUUUAGUGGCGGACGGGUGAGUAACGCGUGGGAACGUGCCCUUCUCUACGGAAUAGUCCUGGGAAACUGGGUUUAAUACCGUAUACGCCCUUCGGGGGAAAGAAUUUCGGGGAAGGAUCGGCCCGCGUUGGAUUAGGUAGUUGGUGGGGUAAUGGCCCACCAAGCCGACGAUCCAUAGCUGGUUUGAGAGGAUGAUCAGCCACACUGGGACUGAGACACGGCCCAGACUCCUACGGGAGGCAGCAGUGGGGAAUCUUAGACAAUGGGGGCAACCCUGAUCUAGCCAUGCCGCGUGAGUGACGAAGGCCCUAGGGUCGUAAAGCUCUUUCGCCAGGGAUGAUAAUGACAGUACCUGGUAAAGAAACCCCGGCUAACUCCGUGCCAGCAGCCGCGGUAAUACGGAGGGGGUUAGCGUUGUUCGGAAUUACUGGGCGUAAAGCGCGCGUAGGCGGACUAUUAAGUCAGAGGUGAAAUCCCGGGGCUCAACCCCGGAAACUGCCUUUGAUACUGGUAGUCUUGAGUUCGAGAGAGGUGAGUGGAAUUCCGAGUG